UUCAAGCUCAUCAAUUACAUUGCUACUCAUGGAGAGGGUCGUUGGAACUCUCUCGCUCGCUGCGCAGGCCUCAAGCGAACCGGAAAGAGUUGCAGAUUGAGAUGGAUAAAUUAUUUAAGGCCUGAUCUCAAAAGAGGGAAUUUUACAGAAGAAGAAGAUGAAUUGAUAAUCAAACUUCAUAGUUUGCUUGGAAACAAAUGGUCAGUUAUAGCCGGAAGAUUACCUGGAAGAACGGAUAACGAAAUCAAGAACUAUUGGAAUACACAUAUUAAACGAAAACUCAUUAGUCGUGGCAUUGAUCCUCAAACUCACCGUCCACUCAACAACAACGCCACUAACUCCCACACCACCACCAAUAUCACCACCGCAGUCACAACCAAAAACAUCAACUUGGAUUUCACAAACGUUGACCAAAAACAACCCAAUAUUAUGAUUGCCACGUCAUCGUCAUAUGAUGAAACAAAAUGCAACAGUGGUACAACUGAGGAAACAAAGCCACUAGAAAUUAUUAUUCCAAAAAUACCCUCACAAGUUAUGAUUAAUCUUGAACUUUCAAUUGGGUUGCCGUUACAUACUGAUCAUAUUUCUUCACCAGAGUCAACGGCCUCAUACAACUUCUUGACCACCGUAGCACCGCCGCCAACUGCGGCGGUACCGGCGGCGGAGAUGAUGGCGAAGACUGUUUGUUUGUGUUGGCAAAUUGGAUAUCAUGGUGGUGGCGGUCAGUGGUGUGGUAAAUGCAAAAACACAAAUGGAUUUUACAGAUAUUGCUGACGUGGCCUCUUUUUGGAUAUUAUUAAGUACCUUAGUACUAAAUUUAUUUUUUUCCUUAAUAUUACUUUACCAUUUUGUGAUAAGUGAAUAUUUUGGGUUUUG
rnacentral:misc_RNA from 1 species